rnacentral:rRNA from 1 species
UUAAUUUGAGAGUUUGAUCCUGGCUCAGGACGAACGCUGGCGGCGUGCCUAAUACAUGCAAGUCGAACGAACUCUGGUAUUGAUUGGUGCUUGCAUCAUGAUUUACAUUUGAGUGAGUGGCGAACUGGUGAGUAACACGUGGGAAACCUGCCCAGAAGCGGGGGAUAACACCUGGAAACAGAUGCUAAUACCGCAUAACAACUUGGACCGCAUGGUCCGAGUUUGAAAGAUGGCUUCGGCUAUCACUUUUGGAUGGUCCCGCGGCGUAUUAGCUAGAUGGUGGGGUAACGGCUCACCAUGGCAAUGAUACGUAGCCGACCUGAGAGGGUAAUCGGCCACAUUGGGACUGAGACACGGCCCAAACUCCUACGGGAGGCAGCAGUAGGGAAUCUUCCACAAUGGACGAAAGUCUGAUGGAGCAACGCCGCGUGAGUGAAGAAGGGUUUCGGCUCGUAAAACUCUGUUGUUAAAGAAGAACAUAUCUGAGAGUAACUGUUCAGGUAUUGACGGUAUUUAACCAGAAAGCCACGGCUAACUACGUGCCAGCAGCCGCGGUAAUACGUAGGUGGCAAGCGUUGUCCGGAUUUAUUGGGCGUAAAGCGAGCGCAGGCGGUUUUUUAAGUCUGAUGUGAAAGCCUUCGGCUCAACCGAAGAAGUGCAUCGGAAACUGGGAAACUUGAGUGCAGAAGAGGACAGUGGAACUCCAUGUGUAGCGGUGAAAUGCGUAGAUAUAUGGAAGAACACCAGUGGCGAAGGCGGCUGUCUGGUCUGUAACUGACGCUGAGGCUCGAAAGUAUGGGUAGCAAACAGGAUUAGAUACCCUGGUAGUCCAUACCGUAAACGAUGAAUGCUAAGUGUUGGAGGGUUUCCGCCUUCAGUGCUGCAGCUAACGCAUUAAGCAUUCCGCCUGGGGAGUACGGCCGCAAGGCUGAAACUCAAAGGAAUUGACGGGGCCCGCACAAGCGGUGGAGCAUGUGGUUUAAUUCGAAGCUACGCGAAGAACCUUACCAGGUCUUGACAUACUAUGCAAAUCUAAGAGAUUAGACGUUCCCUUCGGGGACAUGGAUACAGGUGGUGCAUGGUUGUCGUCAGCUCGUGUCGUGAGAUGUUGGGUUAAGUCCCGCAACGAGCGCAACCCUUAUUAUCAGUUGCCAGCAUUAAGUUGGGCACUCUGGUGAGACUGCCGGUGACAAACCGGAGGAAGGUGGGGAUGACGUCAAAUCAUCAUGCCCUUAUGACCUGGGCUACACACGUGCUACAAUGGAUGGUACAACGAGUUGCGAACUCGCGAGAGUAAGCUAAUCUCUUAAAGCCAUUCUCAGUUCGGAUUGUAGGCUGCAACUCGCCUACAUGAAGUCGGAAUCGCUAGUAAUCGCGGAUCAGCAUGCCGCGGUGAAUACGUUCCCGGGCCUUGUACACACCGCCCGUCACACCAUGAGAGUUUGUAACACCCAAAGUCGGUGGGGUAACCUUUUAGGAACCAGCCGCCUAAGGUGGGACAGAUGAUUAGGGUGAAGUCGUAACAAGGUAGCCGUAGGAGAACCUGCGGCUGGAUCACCUCCUUUCUAAGGAA